GGUCAACCUGUGCCACUUGAGCCAAGUGUGCCAGUGAAGUUGUACCAGAGAAGGAGCUGUCAGCUAUUCCAAAUCUACAGCUAUGGCAUAAAAGCUCUCCACGUCCUUGGCUCUCUUAUUCCAUGGGAAAAGUGAUGAGGCUCCACUCCCAGCCAGACAAAGAUUCUGGUUCAAGGCAUAAAAGAUGUAGGAAUUUUCACAUAUCAUCUGUCUUUACUUGAAACAUCUGAGAUCCUGAAGUGUUGCCUUCUUGGACAGACUGUGUGGCCAGAAGAAAGGAUUAUAUGACUGAAAGAUGACUUCCACUGUCUCCCCUCUCCACACACACACUGUAUAAUUUUCAUGUGCUAAAAGAUACUACUUAUGCCCGCAAACAUUACCUAGGGUAUAGAUAUAACCUUUAAUGAAUAAUGCAAAUAUGUAUUAGAAAAGUAACUAAAUGAGUCACUAAACAUGUUUUACACAGCAUAAUGUCACUAUUGGAAGUUCCAAUACAUUCAGCUACCCAGAAUUACAUCAUGAUGCUGCAUACACAUCUCAGCUUCUAGAUGUUUUUUUGCUUUUAAUUUGAAAAAUAAAACAAAGAAAGGACAUGAUGUCAUUGACUCAAAUUGUUUUGAAAUAGGUUUGGCAGCUUGCUUAUAAACUACAACUUGCUUAUAAGUUACAACUCUGUCAGAAAUAGUCAAUUUACUUUAAAAUACUGCCUGUAAUUGAGUGAUAAAAUGUCUGUGGAACUUCUUUAGGACAAGAUUAUUUGAAGAUAUGACUAAAUAGGCAUACUAGUGUCAUAAAGCUGUCAUUCUAAGAACAGAUUUUUUUUUUGAAGUUGACUGGAAGCACAUAUUCAGCUCCCUUGUAAGGUAUAACUCCAAGUAAAUUAAGUAUUCUUCUCAAUUAAACAUGUGAGCACCAAUGGCUUCUCAAUCAUUUUGUGUACUGGAGUUCUCAAGCAAUAGAUUUCUCAGUUAAACACUAACCCUAGAUGUAGGACCAGAAAGUAGAUUUUAAUUCAGUAUCACUCUUUUUAUCUUUGUAAGGAGCCCUCCUAACUGCAACUCAUAAGUGUUCCUUCUUAAAAUAAAUUAGCAGAGGUAGGUUAUGGCACGUUCUCAUCUCAGAGUUAGCAGAGAACCUAUAAGCAUCCAUGUCUGCUUCCCACAUUGUUGACAUGUAUAGUACUUCUGUACACAGGAAAGUCUCAAAAUUGCCAAUAUUACUGCACAAAACUUUUAUUGCCUGUCAAAAUUUAUCUACUGAAACUUCUUAUAUCAUUCAAUCACAGAAGCCAACCAACCUUCUACCUUACUAUGUCAACUUACUUAUAUUCCUCUACUAUAUCCUCACAGAUAUCAUUCAUCUCUAUUUACCUUUGAACAUCUAUUUAUCUUCAUGAUCUCCCUAUAUUACUUCAAAUCUACAUUUCUCUAAAUUUUGACAUUCACAAAUCUCUGAAAUCACUGAAGGAUAAAAUAACAACAAUCACUUCACCUUGUAGCACUUUGAGUCAGUGGAUCUGAGCACCCUUACAAAUGAUUUGUAGACAACAUUUCCUCUAUUGGAAUGGGGAAUGAGGGGAAUAUGGGGAAUUUGUGACAGAGUAAACUGGGCAACAGACAUAGAGGUGGUCAGUGGCAAGGCUGAUAAUAGAAGGCAAAUCUACUGAAUCCCAAGUAAUUCUGAUAAUUUGAGAUGAAAACUAAAAAUAAUUUUACCUGUGUUUUGGCUGCGACAGUGUUAAUUUUCUUCAUAGUAGCUAGUAUGGGGCUAGUUUUGGAUUUGUGCUAGAAACAGUAUUGAUAAUAUAGGGAUGUUUUAGUUACUGCUGAGCAGGGCUUAUGCAGAGUCAAGGCCUUUUCUCAUCCUCACCCCACACCACCAGCGAGUGGGCUGGGCGUGCACAAUGAGUUGGAAGGGGACACAGGCAGGACAGCUGGCCCCAACUGACAGAAGGGAUAUUUCAUACCUUAUGGCAUCAUGCUGAACAAUAAAACUAAGGACAGGUUGGUGGGGAGAUGCUUCUCAAGGACUGACGGGGCAUUGAUCAGUUGGUGGCAAGCAAUUGUUUUAAUUUGUAAUACUUCUCUUUCUUGCAUUCUAUUUCUCUCCCUUUGUUAUUUUUCUUUAUUAUA